rnacentral:lncRNA from 1 species
UGUAACGAGUACCGAAACUGAGCUCGAAUCAGAAUCCUCCAUCUUUUCCACGUAAUGCCCCCAUCAAUUUUUUUUUUUUUUUUUUUUUUAAUAUUUUUUUUCCCUAGCACGAAUGGUUCAACUCGAUUUUUUUCGUUUCCAUUAAACUGUUUAUAAGAUCAUGAUUUACACUCUAUUUUAUUACUUGUGCGGAUAGCAUAACUGUUGGGCCCCUAUCGGGAUAGCACGAACUCCACAUUGGUAUGAUAUUGUCCAGAUUGGGCCGGGCCCAACUGGUUUUGCUCUUGGGUUUCCCCAAAAGGCCUCAUGCCAAUGGAGUUACUAUCCCCUCCUUAUAAAGGAUAGAUCUUUCCCAUAUUUAACCGAUGUGGGACAUUGUUUGCACCUCAACAAUCCUCCCCUCGAACAAAGUACCACAUAGGUCGGACCACAAAGGACCACCGAGCCUCCCCUCAAUUUGCGCCUGGGGCUCACACCACCGAGCCUCCCUCCUGGAGCUCGUCGAGCCGCCUUCAUUUGCGCACCGGGAGCUCACCAUUUUUGUUCGGCACCGAGGAUUCGGGAAUUUCCACCGAUUCCGGCAACUUCCACCACAUGGUUAGGUCUGGGCCAUGGCUCUGAUACCACUGUUGGGCCCCUAUCGGGAUAGCACGAACUCCACAUUGGUAUGAUAUUGUCCAGAUUGGGCCGGACCCAACUGGUUUUGCUCUUGGGUUUCCCCAAAAGGCCUCAUACCAAUGGAGUUACUAUCCCCUCCUUAUAAAGGAUAGAUCUUUCCCAUAUUUAACCGAUGUGGGACAUUGUUUGCACCUCAACAAUAACUUAUGGAUUUAUAUUCUCCAUGUUCUUAAUCUGCAUCAAUAGAGUUUAUUCGUUUUUUAGUUUCUUCUAUAGGUUUCCGUAGAUUUAAACUCAAGUUCGUUGUUAUUAUGUUUUGCAGGAGUGUCUGAUGUAGUGUUAAUGUCCAUUAACCACCAAGAAAGUCUGGAGAAAAAAUCCCACAACAAUUCCAAGAGGUUUUGACAACAAGAAGCAUUGAAAUUUACUUUAAUGAAAUUAAAUGAAAUAAAGAAAACUAGAAAAUAGUGGUCAAAUUCUCUCACAUGAAUGCAUCAG